AAAUGCACAAGUGCAUUCAAACCCCUAAAUCCUCCCGGUACUAUCUCUUCACUCAUUCUCUGUUUCAUCCGCAAUCUUCACUCCUACCUCCUCCUGAUGUUUGUCGUUCAGCUCAGAUGGCUCCCAUCUCUCUCUCCGCAAACGAGGACAUGAGUGGAGGAUCACCAAUCAAAGGCCAAUGGUGUAUUCGCUCAGUCUCUUGAUCUGAUCUGAUUCUGGCAAUUGUUUUCAUUCAACUAUGAGAGUGGCAACGCAGCAGCAGAAGUAUAUUAGUUGAAAACCCAAAAUCUAUUCUGUCACGAUCGGGAUCAAGUAUGCGGCCAAAAUCUCCUCGAGACCACAGUACUUCUGGACAAGAGUCAACCAUCACCACUUGCAGAACACCAAGAAAAUCCAUUGUGAGAGGCGGCAAAUUUUCAUGACCAGUUCAACCAUGAAGACUCAGCCACUACUUCAAAAAGGCCUCAUGUUCCAAAGGGGGAUCACUCGCCUCCCUGAAGUUGCACAAAGAGGACGGAACAUGGAUAACCCUGUAGUGUGUUUCUCUUAAAGCCAAAUUAGUGGGUAGAUUAGGCUUAUGAAUGUAUCUGUCUAUUGGUAUGUGGAUAAGGCAGUGGGAAACUUCACACUUACUGUGCCUUUCUUUAUGGAAAUGCCUCAAUGAGAAUGUUCAAACUUCAAAGUGUGGCUCAGCUUGUCAGGGAUCAGUUGACAAAGCAAACAAUUAAUGCUGCAUAUGUGGGAUACUUAUCUAGCUUGAGUUGUCAUUACAGGGGGAAGUAUAUCAUGGCUAUUUUAUGACUGCUUUGUGUAAUCCCCCCUAAGAACUGCAAUAACAUGGAAGACCGGACACAUGUGAGAUCUUCAGAUUAAAGGAGUUUCAGGAGGACUUGGAAUAUCUGCCUGACAAGGAGAAGAAAGUGCUGCAGUUAGAGGAUAUGAGGUUCCCCAUUGUUGAAGUUUCAGCAGCCAUUCAUUCAUGUGGUUCUUUAUUUCGAUGGUAAUAUCGUUUUGAUGCUGAUAUUUAUCUCUGAGAGCUUUACAAGAAAGGAUGUCAUUUGGAUUUGAUAUGUAUGCUCUCAAGCUGGUCAGUUGCUUCAGUAUUUAUGAAAUUACUCGGUACUUUUGACAGGUGUGUAUAGUGCAUCUGUAGACCAGGGUUGUAAGCCGCAUUGGCAGUCAAUUUUGUAUUUAUAGUUGAAGAGUUACAACUUCACAAUAGUCCUCUAACAAUGCAUAUAUUCCAAAUCCCUGUAUAAUGCAAGUCAUAUAUGUAGAAACUCAGUUAGCCCUAUUCUAAUUUAGCCAUACAAAUUAUUUGUAUAGAAAGUUACCUGGCAUCCAUUAAACAUAUUAAGAAAUAAUUUUGCUA